UUUUUUUUUUUUUUUUGUCUUUUUGCUAUUCUUUGGGCCGCUCUCGUGGCAUAUGGAGGCUCCCAGGCCAGGGGUCGAAUCGGAGCUGUAGCCCCCAGCCUACGCCAGAGCCACAGCAACGCGGGAUCCGAGCCGCGUCUGCAACCUACACCACAGCUCACGGCAAUGCCGGAUCGUUAACCCACUGAGCAAGGGCAGGGACUGAACCGGAAACCUCAUGGCUCCUAGUCGGAUUCAUUAACCACUGCGCCACGACGGGAACUCCUGUUUUUGACUUUUUGACAUUUCUUGAGCCGAUCCCGCGGCAUAUGGAGGUUCCCAGGCUAGGGGUCGAAUCGGAGGUGUAGCCACCGGCCUACGCCAGAGCCACAGCAAUGCGGCAUCUGAGCGGCGUCUGCAACCUACACCACAGCUCAUGGCAAUGCCACUUCCUUAACCCACUGAGCAAGGCCAGGGACCAAACCCACAACCUGGUGGUUCCUAGUUGGAUUCGUUAACCACUGCGCCAUGACGGGAAAUCCUUUCCAAGUUUUAAACUAGAAAAGUAAUCCAUGUUUACAAUUUAAAAAAUCAACAGUAUAGAAGUACUCUAUAAAGAUAUCUACUAUAUGAUAAGAUACUGGCUUUUAAUUUCACAUUGGUUCUCAAGAGCAGUGACUUAAUAUGCAUCGAAUUGGUCAGUCACAUUCAUGCAAAAAAAGAAAACAAAGAAAACAUUUUAAUUAGGAAAAUAAAACGUAAUUUGAAAAUACUGAUAAACAUCUCAACUCUAUGAUAUUAUACAUAACAGUUCCAUUUAAUCUUCAAAGAGAAGCAUGUAAAAUGUUAAUAAAAAUGAAAGGAAAUUAUGCUUAAUGAAGGAGAAAAUAGCCUAAUAUUUUAAUUGCUUCUAUAAAAUAAGUUAAACUGUGUGUGAAAGAGAAGGUAAAAAUAAUGAGAGAUAAAAUAUUAGUUUUUUUUUCACAUCUGUGACUAUAUCAAGCAUCACAACUUUCAUGUCAGUGUGCAUUAGGGAAAACUUUUUCUAUUUUAUACAUAUUAUACAAAAUUACCUCUCUAUUAUGACGGUUAGGAUGCUAUAUGGCCUUGUGAAGUCCUGUUGUAAAAAAGGAAAAGCAGUAUUAUGAUGGACCAGGGAUUGUCUAAAUAGAGCUCACUCUACUCCAAACUCUAGGGUGGCAAAGGCUGAACCAAUUUUUUCAUAGUUUUAUCCCUAGUGUCUAGCACAGUGGUGUAUAAUAACUGGUGUAUAAUAAAUAUCUGUCAAAUACAUGAUAAUAGUAAUAGCUAACACUGAGUGCUUUCUAUGUGUCAUUAUUCUAAGCACUAACAUCAUUUUAUACAAUUGUCAUGCAAAUACUCACAGAAUACUUCAUAGAUAUCCCUUAGUUUAUUCACUAUAGGGUAAAGGUUAAGAAUUUCUAGAAUCAUGCAAUUGCCUGAAUUUUAGAUUUCCUCUGAUUCACUUCUGUUGUCUGAAAUACAGGAUUUCUUUUUUCCUGUCUGUGUCUCUCUGGUUCAUAGCUUCUUACAUACUACUUGAUCGCUAAUGCUUGCUAGAAUUUCAGUAGCUCAAUCAUAAUCCCAUAAAUAGGAUUACUGUUCCCAUAAAAGAACUGCACAGACAUCCGUCUUGCCUUCCACCAUGUGAUGACACACUAAGGAGUCAGAAAUCUGCAACAUGGAAGAGGGUUUUCACCAGAACUUCGCUAUGCCUUUAUCCUGAUUUUUGACUUUCAGCUUAUAGAAUUGUGAGCAAUAAAUUACCAGUGUUUAUAAACCACUCAGUCUAUGUCAUUUUUGUUGUAGCAGCCAAAAUAGAUUAAGACAACAAGUGCAAACUUUGUGACCAUGUGGGUUCAUUUACCAUCUCCUGCCCUUUUUUUUUUGGCCAUGCCUAUGGCAUGCAGAAAUUCCUGGGCCAGGGUUUGAACCCAUGCCACAGCAGUGACCCAAGUUGCUGCAGUGACAAUUCUGGAUCCCUAACCCACUAACCCACAAGGGAACUCCUCUGCCUUUCUUUAUGCUAUACUUGUCAUAUGUAUUACAUCUACUUACAUAAUAAACCCCAUAAAAAAGCUAUAAUUUUUGUUUUAAGCAAUUACAUGUAUUUCAAAGAAAUUAAUAGAAAUAUUAUCUUUUACAUUUACUCAGUUAUUUACCGUUUCUUAAAGUCCUUCAUUCCUUCAUAAGGAUUAAAGUUUCCAACAGGAAUUAUCUUAUAUCAGCCUGAAAAACUUUCUUUAGUGUUUCUUCUAAUACUCGUAUGCUAGCAAUUAAU
rnacentral:lncRNA from 1 species